GGAGGAGUCGCAUAAUGGCAGUGCAGUGGCUUGCUAAGCCAUAACGGCUUAAAAAACCGUUUGUGGGUUCGAGUCCCACCUCCUCCG
rnacentral:tRNA from 1 species